GUACACGCUGUGACUAGCAUAUCAAUAAGCGGAGGAAAAGAAACUAACAAGGAUUCCCCUAGUAACGGCGAGUGAAGCGGGAAGAGCUCAAAUUUGAAAUCUUAAAGGGUUUCCCUUUACGAAUUGUAGUUUAAAGAAGUGUUUUCUGUUGAGGUUUUGGUAAAAGUUCUUUGGAAUAGGACAUCAUAGAGGGUGAGAAUCCCGUAUUUGACCUUUACUUUCAACUUUGUGAUACACUUUCAAAGAGUCGGAUUGUUUGGGAAUGCAGUCCAAAAUGGGUGGUAAAUUUCAUCUAAAGCUAAAUAUUGGCGAGAGACCGAUAGCGAACAAGUAUCGUGAGGGAAAGAUGAAAAGAACUUUGAAAAGAGAGUUAAACAGUACGUGAAAUUGUCAAAAGGGAAGCGUUUGACACCAGUGUUGUUUUUCUGAAAAUCAAUUAAAGAACUGUUUAUGCUAAGCUGUUUAGACUUUAUCAGCUAUCUGUUUAGUUUUGAGCUUUUCUUUAAUGCACUUUUCAGUUAACAAGUCAACAUCAAUUUCUUUUGCUGUAAAAAAGCUUGAGGAAGGUGGCUUGAGAUUCGUCUUAAGUGUUUAUAGCCUCUUGCCUAUGCAGUCGGAGAGAUUGAGGUCUGCAGCGUAGAUCCUUCGGGGCUAAAUGCAUUUGUGCUAAGUUAUAGCAUUUUAUAGACAACUUGUUGACUAUGAUUUGUCCUGUAGCUUACUCGCUUAUGUUAUUUUACCUACGCUUAGGAUGUUGAAGUCAUCGUAUCGCGC
rnacentral:rRNA from 1 species